AUGGAGCCGGAGUCCGCCGACGAUGCGGCGCUCGCCGGUUGCAAGGACAAGUUGAAGCACUUCCGAAUAAAAGAGCUAAAAGAUGUCCUGCAUCUGCUUGGACUUUCAAAGCAAGGAAAGAAGCAGGAAUUGGUGGAUAAAAUCUUAACAAUACUAUCUGAUCAACAAGAUCAAGUAUCACAACUGAAUGGCUUAACAAAGAAACCGGCGGUUGAAAAAGAAACCGUGUUGAAAAUAGUUGAUGAAACCUUUAGGAAACUGCACAGUCCUGCAAAUUCUGCUGCAGCCUCACCAAAUCAGAUUGAUUCAGGACAAAGUGUAAAGCCUAAAAAAAAGUUAAAUGGUUCUGCUCAAAAGGAUGUCAAUGUCCGUUGUCCUUGUGGUAGCUCCAUCGCCAAUGGAUCCAUGAUAAAGUGUGAUAAUCCACAAUGCAAUGUCUGGCAACAUGUUGGUUAUGUUAUCAUAUCCGAGAAGUCUGCAGAGAGUGUUCCUCAGGAAUUACCUUCCAGCUUCUACUGUGACAUCUGUCGAAUAAAUAAGGCCGAUCCUUUCUGGGUCACUAUCAAUCAUCCAUUACUUCCAACAUCAAUAGCUCCUUCCAAAAUAGCGACUGAUGGGUCAUAUACUAUACAGUAUCUCGAGAAAACCUUUCCAUUAUCAAGAGCUAAUAGGGAAAUGCUACAGAAAGCCGAAUAUGACAUUCAGGUUUGGUGUAUCCUUCUUGAUGACCAAGUUCCUUUCAGGAUGCAAUGGCCUUUACACUCAGAUAUGCAAAUUAAUGGUGUUCAAGUCAGGGUUGUUAAUCGGCAACCUACACAGCAGUUAGGGGCCAAUGGUAGAGAUGAUGGUCCUGUAUUAACGGAAUAUUGCAAAGAAGGACCUAAUAAAAUUGUUCUAUCUAGAAGUGACUCCCGCAUGUUCUCUUUGGGUGUUAGAAUUGCCAAGAGGAGGUCUCUGCAAGAGGUCCUAAAUUUGGUGCCGAAGGAACAUGAUGGCGAGAAGUUUGAUCAUGCCCUUGCUCGUGUGCGGCGUUGUGUUGGUGGUGGAGCUGAGGCAGAUAAUGCUGACAGUGAUAGUGAUAUUGAGGUUGUGGCUGACAGGGUCUCUGUGAAUCUCCGAUGUCCGAUGACUGGUUCAAGGAUUAAGAUAGCUGGCAGGUUUAAACCCUGUGUCCACAUGGGUUGCUUUGAUUUAGAAGCUUUUGUGGAACUUAAUCAACGUUCACGGAAGUGGCAAUGCCCAAUUUGCCUGAAGAAUUAUUCUCUGGACGACAUAAUCAUUGACCCAUAUUUCAACCGGAUCACUUCACUGAUCCAAAGCUGUGAAGAUGAUGUAUCUGAAAUUGAUGUCAAGCCUGAUGGUUCCUGGAGAGUUAAGGGUGGAGCUGAACUGAAGGAUCUUACGCGGUGGCAUUUACCAGAUGGUGCUCUCUCUGUAGCCACCAACAUAGGGUCCAAGAUCAACACGAGUAUUGUAAAGCAUGAGAUUAAAGAGGAGUCUCUGUCUGACCAGCUGGGCUCCCGUAUCAAGUUGGGAAUUAGAAAAAACAACAACGGCAAGUGGGAAAUUACGAAGAGAGGGGAUGUUAACUCGACACAAUCUUCUGAUGGUGACCACGCAGAGCACUUUAAAAAUGGAAACUUUAUUACUCCUACAAGCAAUAAUGAUCAUGAGGACACUGAAGAUUUGGAACCAGGACAAUAUGAUUACCCUAUGAGCAAUGUACAUGAUCUUGAUUCUUCUCCUAUAGACGAACAUGUCCCUGCAGUAUCAAGAGAGCAAGAUAUAAUAGUUCUGAGCGACUCUGAUGAUGAUAACGUCACGGUGUUGUCUCCUAAUGCUUUGAAUUCCAGCUCAGCAGAUGACACUGGAGUUCCAUUUACACCCAAUCCACCUGAAACUAAAGGAACGUCUGAGGAACAACCUGGAGGUGGUCUAGAUGAGGCUUCAUAUCUUAUGUUCAGCGAAGAUUUUGAUGAUCUGGGACAACUCUCAUUUUGGCAGUAUCCUUCAAAUCCCCAGGAUCAUCCUGGCUUACAGUUGACAAAUAAUUUAGGUGAAGUGCAAAACAAUACUGCCAACCAUCAACCUCUGCAUGAGCCAGUAGCAGCAGCAGCAAACCUACUGGAACAUGGACAUAAUAAUUGCAUUGAUGAAAGCCAAGCAUCGAUUGCAAGUAAUUGCGUUACUGCCAAGAAAGCGUCUCAGAAAAGGAGGAACCCUGAGGAUGAAAUAACAGCUUUAGAUGCUUCAGCUAUGGAUGAUGACUUGCCUGGGGAGAGACCUGGUGGUCCUUUGUCACCGGCUCGGCAGCAAAGGUCAGUUCGACCAAGAUUGGUACUAGCAAUCGACUCAGACUCUGAAUAG
rnacentral:rRNA from 1 species